CUGCCCAAUGCAUACAUGCGACGGGCUAAACCAAUAGGAGAAUCGGUCUUUUCCAGCCUGAGAUUCCAAAGACCAGGGAAUAGUCCCGCAGAUCAGAAAGAGGGAGGGGUUCAAGGAAAGAGUUCGGCACCAAGUACUAGGGGAGCCCGGGUGGAACCUCUGGGAAGGUGCACGUGCGCGGAGGGGCGUGGAUCUGCAGGGACCGCGGCGGAAACUCGGGUGAGAGGUGCGAGCGGAGGUCGGGCCCGCGUCAUUGGAUUCAGGGAGGUGACAGCGCGUCCCUUUCCAUACUCGACCCACUCACCAAGGCCCGCUGUUCUCGGCCGCCACGCAGGCAGCCCUAGUCCUGGGUCUGGCUACCCACAGCCAGUCGCGCCGUGGGUCUUUGGCUCCUUGUUUUGUUUGUACCGCUUCUUAGGUCUCCGCCCCGGAAGUGAUGUCACCGAGCGCAAAUGCUUGGGGAUCCUAGGCUGUCGCCCAGUCUUUAAAGGGCACACAGAGCUUCGCACUGCUUCUGACAGUUCUCUUGAGCUAAGCUGCAUCUGGGCGGAAGUAGCCCAUCUAGGGCUCGGCCUCUUUAAAGGAACAGACUUCUGCAACCUUGGGAAUACGUUUGGGGUCGCGGGUUAUUGGACAGAGCAGCGCUAUUGUUUGCUGAAGCAGAACUGUGUGUGGGACUCAGGCCCUGGCUUGGAGCCAUUUUCUGGCCUAGACUGUCUGCCCUUCUGUGCCCCUGAGGGGACGUCUGCAGUGCCUUGGAUCUGGGAGGCAUGUUCAGGAGUGCAGCAGGCCUCUCGGUGCACCUGCUGUGACCACUCUGGGGAAGGAAGGCUGGAGCCUCACGCAGCCAGUGCUUGCACCAGUCUCUCACCAUGUCCAAACAGCUGCAGGCUCGAAGGCUGGAAGGGAUCGAUCACAACCCCUGACCAUAGGUCAAAGUUUGAAGUCUCCUGGGCUAAGCCAUAUGAUUGGUACAGGACCUGGCCACCUUAAAACAUGGGAACCACACAUGUGGAGGUAGAGGGUGGAGUUUACCAGACUGUCCAAGGAGUAUGAUGUCGUGAACUUGGGCCAGGGCUUCCCUGACUUCUCACCGCCAGACUUUGCUGUGCAAGCUUUUCAGCAGGCUACCACUGGGAACUUCAUGCUCAACCAGUACACCUCAGCGUUUGGUUCCUCUGUGUAGCCCUAGCUGUCCUGGUACUCACUCUGAGACCAGGCUAGCCUCCAGUUCACAGAGAUCCACCUGCCUCUGCCUCCUGAGUUUUGGGAUUAGAGGCAUGCGCCACUACUGCUGGGUAGUGUAAGACCCCCGAAGCUGGGCCUCUGCUCAAGUCCCGGGAUGAGCUGGCCAGCACCCCAAUGACUUGAGAGAAAACCACACCUGAUGCAAACUGCAAGAGGUUUUAUUAUCAGCUAGCUAGCUGAGGACGAGCUCCUUGAGCUGAGCAAGGCAGGGGAGUUAAACCCCGAGCUGUAGCAGUAGGGGGCUUUUAACAGCUAGCUGAGGAAUUGGGAGGAGUUGGGCUACAGCUCUUCUCUGCGGGUGUCCUUGGUAAAAUUACAAUUAUCGCAUCUCUGGUUGUAAGGUAUAGAAACAAAAAGGCUUUUUGCUGGCAAAGAGCUUCUUUCUAGCUGUAUUUUUAGAGAUCAGAGAAAACAAGCUGGGUGGGGGGGAUGUUUUAGAGGCUUUAACUCCCAGGGAGAAACGCUCUAAGUCCAGGUCUCACAUUCCCCACUCCUUCUAGUAUAUAGUUCUAAUCUUAGAACUAGGGAAAUUAAACCUCUGUCCCAGCUGCCAAACAAAGCCAACAUGAGGUCGCAGCUUUAGGAUUUGUAACAUUGAGAGCCUCAGAAGCCCCUCAAAUGAUACUAAAGAGUCUCUCACCAGAGGUAGGAGGGAGGGAGGAGGUUCCUGUGCUACACCUGGUGAGUGUGAGCAGGGCCAGGCCGGCAGGGCCAGAAGGGGGAGUUGGGUGCAUGCAGGAGGAGCAACGGAGCAGCAGGGCUUGUCAGAAGCACCAGGUAGGGUCCUUUCCAUCUGGGUUCAAGGUUGCCAGAACGGUGGCGCCAGACCAGGACAGGAUCCCCUAUUUGAAAUUUAUGUGGGACCCUCCCAGGGAGAAAUGCUCUAAGUUGGGGUCUCACAGUAGAACAGCACUUCUUAAAUUUUGCAGUCUCAAUAUUGCCUGGAGAGAAUUUCCCAUAUUUUUGCAAUGCUUACUAUUCUUUACCUUGAAUGGACUCAUCCUGUAUGUAAUGCAAUGUAAGUUGAUGCUGUCAAUAAGGAAUGUAUCCUGGACAUCCUUCCAGUCAAAGUGUCAGUCCCUUUAUCCUUUAGUGUCCCCCAGCCCAGGGCCUUGGGGUGCCAGCUCCGUGCAGCUCCUCGCUCCCUUUAGAGUUUCAUGUAGUACUGUGCUGACAUCAUCCCCUGCUUCCUCCACCUCCGCCUGUGCCCAGCACUCCCUCCACACUCACCAGCUCUUCCUCACUUAUCACAGUUAAAAUGUGUGUAAGGACACACAACACAAUGCGUGCGAAGGCCACUUAGUACUCCUCUGUGUAGUGUUUAGGGCUGACCACUUGAGACUAGAUAACUUAUGAGGGCUCACCACUGGAAAAGAGUGAUUCUCUUAGCACCAGUGAUUGGGCAGCGCCUUGCGGGACGGCCCA